GAUGAACGCUGGCGGUGUGCCUAAUACAUGCAAGUCGAGCGAACAGAUGAGGAGCUUGCUCCUCUGACGUUAGCGGCGGACGGGUGAGUAACACGUGUAUAACCUACCUAUUAGACUGGGGUAACUUCGGGAAACCGGAGCUAAUAUCGGAUAAUAUAUUGAAACGCAUGGUUAAAUAGUGAAAGACGGAUUUGGUGUCACUUUUAGCUGGAUCCGCCCUGCGUUAUUUAGUUGGUAAGGUAACGGCUUACCAAGGCAACGAUGCGUAGCCGACGGGAAAGGGGAGGUGGCCACCCUAGAAGUGAAACACGGUCCAGACUCCUACGGGAGGCAAGAGUGGGGUAUCUAACGCAGAGGACGAAAGCCUAACGUAGCACAGCCGAGUGAGGGAUGAAAGUCUUGUGAUCGUAAUACUCUGUUACUUUGAAAGAACAAAAAUGUGAGUAACUAUGCACGUCUUGACGGUACCGAAUGAGAAAGCAACGGCUAACUACGUG
rnacentral:rRNA from 1 species